rnacentral:ncRNA from 2 species
GGAGCAGCUUCUGGAGAGACCGCCAAUUGCGUGGCGCCGAAGGAUUCACAAUCUCAGGCAAAAGGACAGAAGAGUAACU